rnacentral:rRNA from 1 species
CGAACAAAGUGAAGCGAGACGGUGACGUUAAGCAAAUCACAAAAACCCAAGUCCCAGUUCGGAUUGCAGUCUGCAACUCGACUGCAUGAAGCUGGAAUCGCUAGUAAUCGCGAAUCAGAAUGUCGCGGUGAAUACGUUCCCGGGCCUUGUACACACCGCCCGUCACACCAUGGGAGUUGGAAGCACCCGAAGUCGGUGACCUGACCGAAAGGGAGGAGCCGCCGAAGGUGAAGCCAGCGACUGGGGUGAAGUCGUAACAAGGUACC